rnacentral:tRNA from 1 species
GCCGAUGUAGCUCAGAAGUAGAGCAACGCUUUUGUAAAGCGUGGGUCGGGAUUGCGAGAUUCCCCAUCGGCU